rnacentral:rRNA from 1 species
CGGGACGGGUGAGUAACGCGUGAGGAACCUGCCUCAGAGAGGGGGAUAACACACCGAAAGGUGUGCUAAUACCGCAUAACAUAUGAGAGGGGCAUCCCUUUCAUAUCAAAGAUUUAUUGCUCUGAGAUGGCCUCGCGUCCAAUUAGCUAGUUGGUGAGGUAACGGCCCACCAAGGCGACGAUUGGUAGCCGGACUGAGAGGUUGAACGGCCACAUUGGGACUGAGACACGGCCCAGACUCCUACGGGAGGCAGCAG